rnacentral:lncRNA from 1 species
GACACCUCGUUGUCAGUCCAAUUGACGUUAGUGUACAAACUUUCAAUUGUUAUGCCAACUAAUAUAACGUCAUUGUGUAUUGUAUUUUUUUCAAUAGAUUAUAUGAAGAAAUGCAAUAAUAUUUAAUGAAAAUUAUGUUUGCAUGCGAAAAUAAAAUUAAGACUAACAAGGAUGAUCGAUUUCGUCAUACCUAUGAAAAGAAACUAACA